rnacentral:rRNA from 1 species
CGCUGGCGGCGUGCCUAAUACAUGCAAGUCGAACGGUCUUUCUAUGGAAGCUUGCUUCCACUGAGAAGAUAGUGGCGAACGGGUGAGUAACACGUGGGUAACCUGCCCAUAAGAGGGGGGAUAACAUCCGGAAACGGGUGCUAAUACCGCAUAGUUUUCUUGAUCGCAUGAUCGGGAAAGGAAAGACGGCCUUUGUGCUGUCGCUUAUGGAUGGACCCGCGGCGUAUUAGUUAGUUGGUGAGGUAACGGCUCACCAAGACGAUGAUACGUAGCCGACCUGAGAGGGUGAUCGGCCACAUUGGGACUGAGACACGGCCCAAACUCCUACGGGAGGCAGCAGUAGGGAAUCUUCCGCAAUGGACGAAAGUCUGACGGAGCAACGCCGCGUGAGUGAAGAAAGGUUUUCGGAUCGUAAAACUCUGUUGUCAGAGAAGAACAAGUUGGAGAGUAACUGCUCCAGCCUUGACGGUAUCUGACCAGAAAGCCACGGCUAACUACGUGCCAGCAGCCGC